UCAUAUAUGGCAAAGGGUGGCCAGCCAUGUGGUGUUUUAGAGUGGUGUGAACCCAAUUCUAUAAAGUUUAACUCCCAUUUUAAUUAAGAAGUCAAGUGGGCAAGUGGGUAGAAAAGCACUCAAGUGUUUUGUGAUAUUUUGAAGAGUUGUGUGAGCCAUUCUAACCCCCAAAUCCGACCACUCUCCCUCUCUCAUUCACUCUCAUCUGAUUUUUUAAGACCAUUCAAAGUGUUCUCUCAAUAUUCAACCUCAAGAACACCAAGGAAAACUUGGAGGCUAAGUCUUGGUCUAGGAAGUAUUUUCCCUAAGUUGGUUAGGGUUUUUGAAAGGUUUUGGAGGAGCCAAAGCUAAUAGGAAGGUCCAAACCUUAAGCAAGAACACCAAAGAGGUCAGUGCAAGGGCAAGGCAGAGCAGUGAGCGCUGGAGUCUUCCUUGCAAAUGUACAUGUGGACCGACCUUUUGGGAAGCCUUUUUAUUUUUGGAAAUGUUGUGUAAUUUUCCUAAACUAGGCUCACUCUAAUCUUUAUAAAACAUGUUUGUAAUUAAAUGUUAAGUAUGGCCAUACGACUUUUUAAAAAGUUUUUUUUUCUA